UACGUAGGGCGCAAGCGUUGUCCGGAAUUAUUGGGCGUAAAGGGCGCGUAGGCGGUGUGUCAAGUCAGGCGUGAAAGCCCCGGGCUCAACCUGGGAACCGCGCUUGAGACUGGCACGCUAGAGUUCGGGAGAGGAUGGUGGAAUUCCCAGUGUAGAGGUGAAAUUCGUAGAUAUUGGGAAGAACACCGAUGGCGAAGGCAGCCAUCUGGACCGACACUGACGCUGAGGCGCGAAAGCGUGGGGAGCAAACAGG
rnacentral:rRNA from 1 species